rnacentral:rRNA from 1 species
AGACCCGAAACCCGGUGAUCUAGCCAUGGGCAGGUUGAAGGUUGGGUAACACUAACUGGAGGACCGAACCGACUAAUGUUGAAAAAUUAGCGGAUGACCUGUGGCUGGGGGUGAAAGGCCAAUCAAACCGGGAGAUAGCUGGUUCUCCCCGAAAGCUAUUUAGGUAGCGCCUCGUGAACUCAUCUCCGGGGGUAGAGCACUGUUUCGGCUAGGGGGCCAUCCCGGCUUACCAACCCGAUGCAAACUGCGAAUACCGGAGAAUGUUAUCACGGGAGACACACGGCGGGUGCUAACGUCCGUCGUGAAGAGGGAAACAACCCAGACCGCCAGCUAAGGUCCCAAAGUCAUGGUUAAGUGGGAAACGAUGUGGGAAGGCCCAGACAGCCAGGAUGUUGGCUUAGAAGCAGCCAUCAUUUAAAGAAAGCGUAAUAGCUCACUGGUCGAGUCGGCCUGCGCGGAAGAUGUAACGGGGCUAAACCAUGCACCGAAGCUGCGGCAGCGACGUUUAUGCGUUGUUGGGUAGGGGAGCGUUCUGUAAGCCUGCGAAGGUGGCCUGUGAGGGUUGCUGGAGGUAUCAGAAGUGCGAAUGCUGACAUAAGUAACGAUAAAGCGGGUGAAAAGCCCGCUCGCCGGAAGACCAAGGGUUCCUGUCCAACGUUAAUCGGGGCAGGGUGAGUCGACCCCUAAGGCGAGGCCGAAAGGCGUAGUCGAUGGGAAACGGGUUAAUAUUCCCGUACUUGGUGUUACUGCGAAGGGGGGACGGAGAAGGCUAUGUUGGCCGGGCGACGGUUGUCCCGGUUUAAGCGUGUAGGUGUGUGUUCCAGGUAAAUCCGGUCCACUUUAACACUGAGGCGUGAUGACGAGGCACUACGGUGCUGAAGCAACAAAUGCCCUGCUUCCAGGAAAAGCCUCUAAGCAUCAGGUAACAUCAAAUCGUACCCCAAACCGACACAGGUGGUCAGGUAGAGAAUACCAAGGCGCUUGAGAGAACUCGGGUGAAGGAACUAGGCAAAAUGGUGCCGUAACUUCGGGAGAAGGCACGCUGACACGUAGGUGAAGUGAUUUACUCAUGGAGCUGAAGUCAGUCGAAGAUACCAGCUGGCUGCAACUGUUUAUUAAAAACACAGCACUGUGCAAACACGAAAGUGGACGUAUACGGUGUGACGCCUGCCCGGUGCCGGAAGGUUAAUUGAUGGGGUCAGCGCAAGCGAAGCUCCUGAUCGAAGCCCCGGUAAACGGCGGCCGUAACUAUAACGGUCCUAAGGUAGCGAAAUUCCUUGUCGGGUAAGUUCCGACCUGCACGAAUGGCGUAAUGAUGGCCAGGCUGUCUCCACCCGAGACUCAGUGAAAUUGAACUCGCUGUGAAGAUGCAGUGUACCCGCGGCAAGACGGAAAGACCCCGUGAACCUUUACUAUAGCUUGACACUGAACAUUGAGCCUUGAUGUGUAG